UGAUCAAUCUGCAAGCAGCCGGCUGCGUAUAUAUUUGUGUUCGGUCUCGUUGUUCUGCAGAGAUGCUGUUGUGGUGUCUGAGAGCCGCUUACUUGAUUUGACGCGUCACUCGCCCUGUCUGCCGUGCCAUGCAGUCCUUGGUUUCACCUGUCACGAAAGCCAUCUUCAUCGCCUUGUUUCUGUUCGCUAUUCUCCUCAUUCUCUAUGUAAUCCUGUGGUACAUCUGCAGAGACUCUGAUAACGAUUACAUUUAACAUUGGGAAUAGUGAUACACGAGGUGACAAGGUGCCAGUUCUGAUGUGCACACCUGGAUGGAAGGUGAUGUUUGGCUCUGAUAAGAAGUGGGCAGAAAUCAAGGGAGAUAAAUAAACUGUUUAGUCAGACGAAGACCCAGAACCAAUUGAAGUUCACACAGCUCACCAGAUAGCUGGAAGAGGAUUCACUUUUUUGAAAAAAGUUGGGGCCUAAAUGAAUUUGGCAUUUCAGCAGUUGGGACUCUUGCUUAGUGACAUUUUGUUCAAGAAGUUUGGAAUAUAUCCCUGGCUGGUGCGCGCAGUAAAAGAUAGGAUGAAAUAAUUUUGAUGGAAUUAAAGACAGCACUGUCUGUUCAAAACGUCUUUCGCAAGGACAGCCUUUUGAUCCUCAGCACUUUGUGUGCUACUGUGAAAGGUGUUUAAUGCGACCGUCAUUGGUCUGUUUUUGUGUUUUUGAACCUCUUUCAAAUGCAGUGUGGCUUUCUAGAUCCAUUAUAUACUGAUCCUGUAUGCUUAAUUGUUAAGAGUCAGGUUUUGCUUUUAUUGAAUAGUAAAGAAGUAUUUACACUGUGAAGUAGCAUUUACACUAUGUACUGUAUGUAACAUGCCUAAUAAAUUGUACUAUAUAUUAUUAGAAUUAGGAAGAAGUAUACUAGGUUUAGCACUAAUCUUGUUUAUGCAUUUCAGAUCCUAGGUCCUGGUUUUGACCUGUCCAUACAGUUUAAUUGGAAGUCUGGUCCAUGUGAAUUUAGUGCGCAUUAAUGUUAAGAGACAAUGGCACUGUUUAUAGUCAGGUGCGCUGCUUUCUUCUCUCCAUGCCAAGUCUAUAGAGACUGUAGGGCACUUUACCUUAUUGACAAAAAGCAGCACCAUACAGUUGUUUGGUGUUAUUCAUUUUAAAACCAGGUAAAAUUCCAUAUUUGCAUCCUGUCUGCAUGUUUAGUUUAUAGUGACCUAAACAGUGAUCUGAUUUGCUAUGGGUGAGUGCAUGCGGCUGCAUAAUGUAUACGCCUGGCAGCUCCCUGCUUUGUGAUUGGCUGUGCACCCAGUCUCAAUGUUGAGUCAUGGGUGUGUUGAGUAGGUGUCAGACUUUCCUUCACAGCUCUGAUGUGAUCCUGACCUGGGAACCCCCUGCCUGGGCCUCUCUUAAGUAGAGGCUGCUGAAUCAUGUGAUGGUUUUGUGCGGUGGAGCGGAGACCAUCAAAUGCAUUAUAUACUGUAUAAGUGACCUGAGCUAGUUCAAAACAGCCUGCUGUAUAACUUGUAGCUUCUUAAUUACUGUUGAGAACAAGAAAGAAGAUUGACAGAGCUUAAUUUUCCUAACAUGGACAGCUCUGUCAAUCUACACACCUGCCCUCAACAAACAAGGCAGUGAAGCGAAAGAUCCUGCCCACAAUGCACCUGCACUGUGGGUACCAGGACACCUCCUAGGAACCCCAUGGUCCUAAAGCCCAAUCUCUACUGCAGCUCAUUUACAUGCCAUCACAAAGGCAUACUAGAGGCAGACUAUAACAUGUUUCUUUCAAAACCGCACGUUUAAGGCCGAUUUACGUAAUUCGCUAAAACCAGUUUCAGGAUGUGAGCUUUAGAGCACCCAAGAAUAUUUAGAAUAUGUAAUUAGGAAUGUUAUAUUUCAUUUAAUUCCUUAAAUGCUUAUACUUUAGCUUAAAGACUUUUACCCAAUCAGAAAAGCCAUCAUCACUCCACUCAUUAGAUUGCUGUUACUGUGCAAUUGUAUACUACUACACGAUUAUAUAUGAGGCAAUGAUCUAUUCAGCCCUUGUGAAAGCUUAUCACAGUACUAUGUUUUUGCAUGGUGAAUUUGCAGUUUUCCCAUGCUUUUCCCAUUGUUAUACUGUAGUUUGUCAUGGUUUGCUAUGUUUCUAACAUGCUCUACCAUACCUCUCUUGGCUUUACAAUGCUUACUUGCUGUAUGGUUUACUGUGUUUUCAAUGUGAUUUAUUACAUUUUUCUAUUGGAAACUGUUAUAAGGGAACUGAUAUAAAUGCUGGCGGAUCUAAAUACUGUUUAAGUUAUUAAAAGAGGAAUACCUUGUGAAAAGCAGGACCUCUAACAGUGCAAGUCUCUUAAAGAGUAUUUCUGUCUUUCAAAGUAUGUAAUAUGCCAGGUUUAUUGUUUUAAUAUUUAAACACUGGUGGUGUUGAAUAGACCCUUCAUCUGUAAAACAUUGAUGUGUCUGUGUGUGGAAAUGUGUUUGAAUAAAUAAAUAAUGCUGUUGUGGUUCUGUUAUAGAUAUAUUUUAUCACUGUGUUUAUUGACACAAGCACACAUUAAAUACCAUCUGGCACCAGUUGAGGAAAUGUUCAAUGGCACGACUAACGUGACAGAGCCUUAACCUGAAGUUGAAAGUGGGUGCAAUGUGAAAUCAAAGGUUCUGAAGAUAACCAUCAUGCUUUAAUCAGCUUAGAUUGAGAGUCCACUCUGGUUGGCCCUUUCACUGCUCUAAAAGGGUACAGUAAUCUGAAUUGCAGCAUUAAUAUUUCAAUCUCACAGUCAAACAUUUGAAUCCCUGCCGUUCCUCCCGGUUGAAUGCCGUGUCUAUGAAUCUGAAGAGACUGAACAAGGCAUUCUCCACAGGCUCGCAUGGUGGGGACUGAAAUGACAUUGGUUGCAUUCCCACAUAUUGACACCAUGCAGAUUCAAAAGAAAUGGGCCACUUUUCAUGGAGGAUGCAGUACCUUGGUGUAAAGGUCAGGUGGAGUUUACUACACUUUGUCUUCCUCUUUGUAAUAAACUUUCUUUGAAUUGCAGUGCUGCUUGCUAUCAUUGUCUCAAUUCUUUGGAACCACUGGCUGAUGGAGGGAACAUUAAUGUCUUGAAAGGGGUUCUAACUCAUGAAGUAAUUCCAUUCCAUCUUUAAUCUCCCUGUCAAUCACUCCCCUUCUUCUAUAUAAGCCUCCCAUUUCCUCUUCUGCUCUCUCUAGCGUUUGUUCGAGCUGGAGGUUCUGCGUCAGGCCAGAGGGGACCCCCGACCACACUCUCUAUCCCGUUGCAGCUUGUCCACUUUCCCUAUUCUAAUUUCAAGACUCCUUCUCCUUCUCAGCUGUUGAUGUGGAGUCUGUCUCGCAGUCCUUCGAUCUCUUAUUAAUCUCUACUCCUUUCUUUUCUAGCUCCAGGACUCCUGUAAGCUCCGUUCCACGAUCCCAAGUCCCUCUAACUUUUUCCUUUCAAGGCUCUCCUUCAGAGGUCCAUUCCCAAGUCGCUCAGCUGCUCGGCUCUCCAAGAGUCUGGGUCCUCUGUCCCCUCAAUCCCUUAUGAGUAGCUCUGUUCCCAAGCUGCCAUGGAAGCGACUCUCUGCGGAGUUGGGGAUUCUAUCUGUGUUUUCGGGUCUUGGGUCACCUGACCAGCCUUCGGCUAUAAGGUUCUCCAUCACCGGUAGCAAGACUCCUGUUCUAUCCCUUUAUCUCCCUUCAAGUAUCCUGGCGCUCUCUGACCUGUCAGGAAGCACUACACUUGCUACUCACCAUAGCCCAGUGAAACGAUUAAAAAUGAUUAAAAAUAGCUUUUCCAAAUCCACAGCACACAGCACUGUUGGAACGAGAAAGUGUUCUCCCUGCAGCAGAUAGCAAGGAAUUUACAUUUCCAAUGUUGAUUCCAGGAGACAGUCACCAUUAAAACAAAGAGGCAUGGCUCCAUCUAUCAUCCAGGCUAGUCACUGGCAUGUACUCCAACAGUUUGAUCUACUGCUAUUGGCCACCAGAGACAUUAAUCAGUAUUACAGCCAGUCAUCAGCCUGCCAUGCACAGCCCAGGUACUGGCCAUUUUCUGUACUUUCAUCCAAAGCUAUUAGUUCUCUUUAGAGACCGCUAUUAUAAUUAAAAGGAGGGGAACCCGACACAACCUAUCUGGUGCUACACUUGGUUAAAACAAUCUCUCUUUGCAAGCCAUGCUUUCCUUUGGUGUUGCACUGUUGUCAUUUCACCUGGAGGGUGAAACCGUCUCCGCCCCUUCAAUGGCUUCUUCCCUGUUUUUAACCAGACACUGCUGAGCGGAAUGACUCAGGAAGUUCAAGUGGAACAGAUAGAAACGGCAUAGAAAUGGUUAACUUUCUUUAACCAAAAAUAAUACCAGAUAUGUCUUAAAAUAACUGUUUAUAAUAAGAAGUGCUUUUUUUCAGAACUGCACAUUUGAGACCGUGUAACAAAUGGAAGUGCAUUUUAGAAGUGUUUUAAGUUGAAUAAAAUUGAUUUUUCAAAAUGAUUUGACAGAAACUCACUACAAAGGUCUCAGCCUUGUGAUGGAGAAUACAUUUUUGAAAGUUAGUUGGAAGAUCAAUAUUUUUUAUACUGCAGCUCUCUGGCAAGUGAUUAAUAUUUGGAAUGCUGUGUGCUGGCAUGAUGUCAACAAUAUUUUUUUUCCCUCCACGCUUGCUAAUGAAUUGGCAUCACAGCCCAUCGAAUUGAAAGACAAGCGCUGGACGCAAACAGCAAACAUCGCUAAUCAAAGAUAAACAUCUUACCAUUCAAUUAAAGAGCAACUCUGUGGUCAGGAUGUGUCUGAAUUACUAACUCAUCAGCUUCUAGGAAAGGAUCCAUUACAGCGUUGCAGAAAACCAGGGCAAGCUUUAGACAAAAAGUAGGCCAGUGUCACAGGUGGGCUGUUCUCACUGCUCGGAAAGCAAUCACUCUUACCUCUCAGUAAAACCUGAUGAACCAGCAGGGGCAAGGGUGCUCAAUGGAUAGUGUUCACAGGGGCUGUCAGCUCUGCCACAAUACACACACAUAUGAGGUAGGCACUGCAUUUUCACAGAGGCUACAUUUCCAAAGCUGAAAGGGUUGCUAUCAUACCUCACUGUAACCACUGACCUCACAUGACUGGAGAACUGAAAACCACCAAAACGUGUAAAGAAAAAGAGAAGGUUGUUGAUAACUUUUUUUUUUUUUUGGGAGGGGUGGGGGGGUACUGAUCAUGCCCAGAACUCCACACUAUGUGCUGGUUAAUUUUUAAACGGUCAAUGUGCCUGUGUCUAGGUUGACCUUGUCUGGCCGAGAUUCUUACUCUCCAACGGAAAGCUGACUGUUCAUUUCACAAGGAGGCAAGAGGAGUACAGACAGAGGUGAAACUGCAGAGCAGACCUUGAUGUUAACUCUCCACUCUGGUGAUGUAUUGGGCUUUCUAAAUAAGAUUUUAGUUUCAGGGUUCGAGAAGACAGAACAUGGGGUGUUUCUUUCACUUUCCCUCGUUAUGCUGGUUUGAAAACACCUGUUCCUUUGAAAUAAACAUUCCAGUUUAAUAUAAUACGGUACAAGGCGCAGUUUAGAUUGCCUACCAAUGCUGUUUUAAGGUAAUGACUACAGGUACUAAAACACAUGAUUCCAGUUGCAGAGAGCUGCUCUGUUUUAGAAUGUGCUUUAUUGUCAUUUAACUGGGAUAGUUUGACUGCUGCUAUCUUCCUAGACGUGGCUGGGAAUAAGAUGGCUUCUAAUGCUGCUUUUAAAUAAGAAAGGAUUAACUUGAAUGGAAUUGAAAAGUUAAAAACCAGGCAUUCUAUAGUAUUGAAAAGUAAAUAUAUAGCCAUGUCAAUUUCAAUAUGUCAUUGAAACUACAGCUGCCUCUAACUGCAUUGAAAUCUUCAACGCAUUCAAUUCACAUUUCUUAUGUUGGCAUUGAUUGAACACUGGGAGUCUGUUAGCUGCUGUCAGUAACUGGAAUCUGUCCCUGUAGGUUUACAGAAUCCAGGGACGAUCCUAUUACUGUGCACUGGUAAUGGAAUGAACAUCAGACAGCCACUCCAAACAAGCAGCACAUGUGAUAUAUCUAAGUAAGAGUUAGAUGGGAAUCGUGUCUCAAAAUUCUCAGAUGCUUGAAAUAAUUUUGAGGUUAAUUCAUAACUUUAGAUUCUCAAUCAUAAAGCAUGUCGAUGAAAACUAGACACAUGUUAGCUUGAUCAAUGUCAUGCCAUUUAUCCCAUGUAUUUGUAUUGGUCCUUUAUUGUUUUUCUGGACUCGCUUGUAAAAGAGGCCUCGGUUAAAUAAACAAAUAAAUACAAAUAAAAGUAUCUGAAUGUAUUGCGACCAGGGAACCUUCUGGCAACUUUUCAAAAGCAAGUUUUACUCAGAUCAAGAAACACAUUUCACAUGGUGAAAAUUGCUUAAAGAUAUCACCUGUAACAAGCUGCCAGAAAAAGUUGCAACUUUAGUUUUUUCCGCUGCUGUUUCUUCACAAUUCCACUAGGUGAUAGAAGAGAGUUACAAUUCCUCCUGUGUGUUGGCUGCAGAGGCAGCUGCUAUUACGUCCCUUCAUAUCACUGGGUCUACACACAAGAACACGGUAGGAAGCGUCUGUUGUCUUGUGAUGUCAUAUGUGGAUGUUUCAUUAUCUUUUUAUUGUACUUUUUGGUAACAUUCAAUAUAUCUAUGCUUCUACAUUUUGAUUAAUAUACUCCAUUGUUUAAUUUGCAGCAACACCAUAGGGCAGAAUAUGGUUUCAACCAGCUUGUAUUUAGCAGUCUAUUGUAUCAUUUUUAUAAUGUAUUGUAGAGUAAGAGCAAACUGCCAUCUGAAUAAGCUUGUUCAUUUUCACACGAGUCAAUUAGUGUGUGCAACCUAAUGCUUCACUACAGGGGAGAUAGAAGAGCCAGGGGUACAAACCUCAAACUUUAGUUUCACAUAGACAGCAUCUAGACAGCUGCUUGUCUCAUUGUAGUGAAACUUGCUAAAGAAAGAGAGGACAAUUACGAACGAGAGGAGGCUGUUCAGCCCAUCUAAGAUUGUCCGAUUCUCAGUAGCUGAAUGGUCUCAGAACUUUGUCAAGUUGGGUUUUAAAAGAUCCAGGUGAUUCUCCUUCACAGCAUGGUCAUGUGGUCCGUUCCAUACCCACACCACUCUCUGUGUGAAGAAGCAUCGCCUUCCCUCUGUCCUAAGUCUAUCUUCAACUGAUUUCCAAAUGUGUCCCCUUGUCCUGGUUUCUGUACUGCAAGUAGUGGUUAACUAUGUAAACUUAUUUUAAGAUUUUAAAAACUUCAAAUCGUACCCACCACCCUUAAUUCUUCUUUGAUCCAUGCUAAAUCGAUGUAGUUCUUCUAGCCUACCUUCCCAGCUUUGAGCCAGUAUUGGGUGUAUCUCAAUGUAUGGAAACUCUGAUUGUAGGUCAUGCCGGAUGUAGUUUCCCAUGUUAUUAAUAUCUCGGAUGGUGUAUAUAUUGUUAUGGGGAGGGCUGAAUGUCACCGACUUGCUUGAACAGACUGUUGCACUUCAGAGUUUUGCUUAUAGCUGCAGAACUGUUUAUACAAUCGUCACUGUGUGCGUCUGUAUGCACGUCACAAUCAGGUCUAAUUCUGACACACUGCCGAUAACGUGGGUUAUUCAAAUAUACACUUCUCUCUCAAUGCAUCUGUCAAGCAACGCUUGUACAGCUAGAGAAACGCGUGUUAUGAUAAGCACAGGUUAUACAGAGGAUGUCUCUAUACAUCUGAAUGUGUACAUAUAGUGGAUGUACUUUUUUGCGUAACAAAGAAAAGGCUCAGGAAUUUGUCCUGACCAGCCCCCCUUUGUGUUGUGGUAAGCACUGCUUGCACCCUUCCACCCUAUCCCAAUUAAAACUACAGGCUUUUUAUAGUCUAGCAGACAAAUGUUUGGACAAAAGUGUUUUUUUUUUUCCAUGCUCACUAGAGAACACUUAGCAUUCAUUUGAAUCUCAGCAAUGCCCAUACAAGGCCAAUAAUGUAAAAUAGAGGUGUGCUGCAGUGGCUCAGGCUGCAACAAGAGCCCUCUGUCUUUUAUAGACAAUACGUGGACCCUAGAACACUGGAUAUAGUUUUAAAGAGUGACAUAAAAAAAUCCUGGACAGGAAAACACAGUAUUUUACUAUAAACACAACUAGACAUUUUUAAUAAGAAUAUUGAAUUGAUAGUAUAACUGUUUUACCCACUGUCUCCCAAUACUGUUAAGUUAAACUUUGUUUUAAAGUCAAUACAAAACUAUACCACACAAUCCCUAGGAGAGUUAAACUGUUCAAAAAAGUGUUAACCAACAUACAUUGGCUAACUUAAGAACUUUCUAGAUCACAAUCCUAUGGUAUGAAUUUAUUACAAGAGAUUUCCAGACCUUCAGCAAGAAGGCCUCUAGUAAUGACACAAUCUAAGCCUUUGACUGGCAUUAAAUACAGAGGUUUACCUGUAUGUGAAAAUGAAUGCACAAAGUUAAAAGGAUAACUGUCCACAAAUUAGUCAAAACAUUUAGUUAAAACACUCUGAGUUAUAAAGCUUGAAAAACACACUUUGCAGUACAGCUUUGUUUCAAUGCAGACGAUCUUGAAGUUGAUGUGUGCGUGAGUAUCUUUAAGUGAAAGGCUAAGAAGGAGAUUGUGCAGCCACCCCUUUGCAGACAGCGUGCCAUUGAUUACACAGCACACAGACUAACAGCAACUGUUCAGCUCUGCCGGUGGUUGACAUCACAAUGGGCCACUGGGCCAUUUACUGUGUUAGUCUAACACAGUGGAAACAUUAUGCUAUGGGUUAAAUUAACUGGUCAUUUCAAAACAAGCACCUUUGAAACUGACUUGUCUCCUUAACAUCUUAGUGUGAUUCCCAAACACCAAUAAUAACAACAACAACAACAACAACAACAACAACAAAUAUAUAUUUGGUGCACUUGCUGAUACAGUAUAAAUUGGCCAAAAAAGGACCAUGUUUAUCUAAUACCUCAAGCUUAAAAUUCUGUUAUAAAUACAAAAAAAAAAAAAAAAAAAAACUGCCUCUUCUUCCAACAUAAUACUUUGUUACAAAGGAAUGUCAUUGAAACAAAGGAACUGAUAGCUAUUUCAAAAUAGGAAAACACAAAUCCAAAACUAAAUAAAUAAAACUAGUUAAUCUGUAUUCAUUUACUCUCAGAAAACCAGUAUUUUACUUUUUGAGCCCCACUGUUUCUGAAGGGCUGACAUUUUAAGUAUAUGCUGCUCAGGAUCUUUCAGCCAAUCGGAUCGCAUGUCUCACCUUCUGUAUUCCACGAGACAUCACAGAUUCUCCACAUCAGUGUGGUUGAGGUCACCUGCUUUAAAACUAAAAUCACACCCGAGGCACCCCCUGGAAUUCCAUUCAACUGCAAAGACCAUUCAAAACCGUGACAUCACAAUCCACCACAUACCUCAGCCUAACCCUAACAGUAUUCUCUUCAUUAAACUUUACAAUGAAACUGAAACUGGACUAAAAGGAUGGUAAUGAUUAGAAAACACAGAGCUGGAUUUCUAACUUGUGUAUUAAUUGUGUAUUAAUUAUAAAGCAGUAUAUGAAAGUUAUAGGACAGUGAAUGUCUGUGUAUGGGUUAUAUAGACACUCAAAGUGCUUCAACAGACCUCGGCUUUCAGCCUCUCUACUAGUGCAGACAUUCCUUCAUACACAAACGUUCUGUGUCCUAUAACUAUAUAAAAUUGUAUGUGUUCAUAUAAACACACACAGCCGAUCUGAAAGACCUGCUGUUCUGUACAGGGACUGAUCUGUUGACCAACUGACCCAGUUCCAAGCCAGCGCUGCUUUGCGCACUCAUCAGCAAUGCAAACCCUCUGGACUGGACUUCAUUGCCUCUGUGCCAGCUUGGUCACGUCACAUUGGCAGAGUUGAAUUCAAUGUACAGGGAAUUGAAUUUUUCUGCUACAACCAAAGCCUUGAGCUUUCAACCAAGUAAAACCCUUUAUUCUUUCAGAAUAUCUAAAAAAAAAAAAAAA